GUGGAAAGGUGCAUGGUGGAAUAUGCUAUAGAGCCACAUGGGCAUGUUAUAAUUGUGGCGACACUGGUCAUUUUGCUAAAGAUUGUACAAGUGCAUGCCGUUCUGGACCACCUACUACUCCAGAGGGAUCAGCCCAAGGUUCUACCCCCAAAAGUUCACCAUCAGUUAGCAGAGGCCGGGACAGAGGUAGGGUUAGUACAUCUGGUAGCCAAGGUACUGUGAACCAGCCAGAGCAGGGUGGUACACCAUAAGACAGAGG
rnacentral:misc_RNA from 1 species